rnacentral:lncRNA from 1 species
AAGUAAGCUGUACUCAGUUCCUAAUCUGGGUAAACCAUUAAGCUUGGUUGUCUUCUGAAUGGGACCGGAAAUGGGGCCACUGUCACCUUCUUCUGCUUCAGAAGCUGUUUUUACAUCCAGAAGAGAGCGUCACAAACUGCGUAACUUACAAAUGGAAGAACCGUUCUGCAAAGUGCUAGAAGGUUCAACACCUGGCAAGGAACCAGCGUGAACCUGUGUUAGCUCCCCCUAAGACAGAAAGAUUGAGCUGAAGCCAACCAUGUCUUCCUACUUUUGCUCCAAGGAAAGCCCAUUUCUAGAUACUCACCUUGCAGAGAGUCAGAAACCCAGCUUUCGCCAAGAGAGGCUACAGUCGUGGCCGUUUGGAUCAAGAAUCACUUCUCCUUUUAGUGGUCAUUGUAUCCCCCAAGACUUUGCAGAGCAAGGCUAAGAAGUGGGAAUGGAAUAAUUAAAAAGUACUUUCAGAGUC